rnacentral:rRNA from 1 species
UACAGAGGGGGCGAGCGUUGUUCGGAAUUACUGGGCGUAAAGGGCGCGUAGGCGGCCUUCUAAGUCGAACGUGAAAUCCCCGGGCUCAACCCGGGAACUGCGUCCGAUACUGGGAGGCUUGAAUCCGGGAGAGGGAUGUGGAAUUCCAGGUGUAGCGGUGAAAUGCGUAGAUAUCAGGAGGAACACCAAUAGCGAAGGCAGCUCGCUGGGACGAUACUGACGCUAAGGCGCGAAAGCGUGGGGAGCGAACAGG